CUAACUACGUAAUCCCGCUAAUCAUAUUAAUUAUGAGGAAAGCGGGAUGGUGCGUAGUAUAAAUUCCACUAUAUGCUGGAAAAUCUGACGAAGACGAUAGUACCCCGCUUUCAUGUAACCAUGAAGGUUUGGCGGGGUGAAAAUUUAUCGUUAAACCCAUGAAGACACGCGAUUGGUCGGUACGGGUUGGCAGACAAUCAGCAGGAAAGACUACCGCAUUUUUUAAAAAAUGCGGAAAUCUCAAAUCACAAAACUCAAUGACCAACUCAUACAUUGUUGGGAUUUGGAGCUUAAGAUUUGUGAUUUCUCAAAAUGUUAUACAUUUUGAGUUGUAUCCUCAGAGACUACACGUGGAACCCGCCGAUGAGGCGAGGAUGAUAUAGUCCAAGUUUGAAACAUUUAUUG
rnacentral:autocatalytically_spliced_intron from 1 species